rnacentral:rRNA from 1 species
UUGACCUCGGAUCAGGUAGGAAUACCCGCUGAACUUAAGCAUAUCAAUAAGCGGAGGAAAAGAAACCAACAGGGAUUGCCCCAGUAACGGCGAGUGAAGCGGCAACAGCUCAAAUUUGAAAUCUGGCCCCUAGGGUCCGAGUUGUAAUUUGUAGAGGAUGCUUUUGGUGAGGUGCCGCCCGAGUUCCCUGGAACGGGACGCCGCAGAGGGUGAGAGCCCCGUCUGGCUGGCCACCGAGCCUCUGUAAAGCUCCUUCGACGAGUCGAGUAGUUUGGGAAUGCUGCUCAAAAUGGGAGGUAUAUGUCUUCUAAAGCUAAAUAUUGGCCAGAGACCGAUAGCGCACAAGUAGAGUGAUCGAAAGAUGAAAAGCACCUUGAAAAGAGGGUUAAACAGUACGUGAAAUUGUUGAAAGGGAAGCGCUUGUGACCAGACUUGGGCGCGGCGGAUCAUCCGGGGUUCUCCCCGGUGCACUUCGCCGUGUUCAGGCCAGCAUCAGUUCGGCGCGGGGGAAAAAGGCUUCGGGAACGUGGCUCCUCCGGGAGUGUUAUAGCCCGUUGCAUAAUACCCUGCGCUGGACUGAGGACCGCGCAUCUGCAAGGAUGCUGGCGUAAUGGUCACCAGCGACCCGUCUUGAAACACGGACCAAGGAGUCGUCUUCGUAUGCGAGUGUUCGGGUGUCAAACCCCUACGCGUAAUGAAAGUGAACGCAGGUGAGAGCUUCGGCGCAUCAUCGACCGAUCCUGAUGUUCUCGGAUGGAUUUGAGUAAGAGCAUACGGGGCCGGACCCGAAAGAAGGUGAACUAUGCCUGUAUAGGGUGAAGCCAGAGGAAACUCUGGUGGA